rnacentral:rRNA from 1 species
CCAGACUCCUACGGGAGGCAGCAGUUAGGAAUAUUCGUCAAUGGGGGAAACCCUGAACGAGCAAUGCCGCGUGAAGGAUGACGGUCCUCUGGAUUGUAAACUUCUGUUGUUAGGGAAGAACGACCUAAGUAAGAAAUGACUUAGGAGUGACGGUACCUUUCAAGAAAGCUCCGGCUAACUACGUGCCAGCAGCCGCGGUAAUACGUAGGGAGCAAGCGUUGUCCGGAAUUACUGGGCGUAAAGGGCGCGUAGGUGGGCGCUUAAGCCAGGUGUGAAAACUCCGGGCUCAACCUGGAGACUGCACUUGAAACUGGGUGUCUUGAGGGCAGGAGAGGAAAGUGGAAUUCCUAGUGUAGCGGUGAAAUGCGUAGAUAUUAGGAGGAACACCAGUGGCGAAGGCGACUUUCUGGACUGUACCUGACGCUGAGGCGCGAAAGCGUGGGUAGCGAACGGGAUUAGAUACCCUUGUA